AGAGUUUGAUUCUGGCUCAGGAUGAACGCUAGCGGCAGGCCUAAUACAUGCAAGUCGUACGGGAUAGACACUUCGGGUGUCUUGAGAGUGGCGCACGGGUGCGCAACGCGUAUGCAACCAACCCCCGACGGGCGGAUAGCCGGUGGAAACGCCGGAUAAUACGCCAUGGUUCCUGAGAGGGGCAUCCCUCUCAGGAUAAAGCAGCGAUGCGGUCGGGGACGGGCAUGCGUCCCAUUAGAUUGUAGGCGGGGUGACGGCCCACCUAGUCGACGAUGGGUAGGGAUCUGAGAGGACGGUCCCCCACACUGGUACUGAGACACGGACCAGACUCCUGCGGGAGGCAGCAGUAAGGGAUAUUGGGCAAUGGUCGGAAGACUGACCCAGCCAUGCCCGCGUGAGGGAAUGAGGCCCUACGGGUCGUGAACCUCUUUUAUUCGGGGACAAGGACGGCGUCGAGAACGUUGUUUGAGGGUACCGAAGGAAUAAGCGUCGGCUAACUCCGUGCCAGCAGCAGC
rnacentral:rRNA from 1 species